GACGAACGCUGGCGGCGUGCUUAACACAUGCAAGUCGAGCGGUAAGGCCCUUUCGGGGGUACACGAGCGGCGAACGGGUGAGUAACACGUGGGUGACCUGCCCUUAGCUCUGGGAUAAGCCUGGGAAACUGGGUCUAAUACCGGAUAUGACUCCAUGACGCAUGUUGUGGGGUGGAAAGCCUUGUGCGGCUAGGGAUGGGCCCGCGGCCUAUCAGCUUGUUGGUGGGGUGAUGGCCUACCAAGGCGACGACGGGUAGCCGGCCUGAGAGGGCGACCGGCCACACUGGGACUGAGACACGGCCCAGACUCCUACGGGAGGCAGCAGUGGGGAAUCUUGCGCAAUGAGCGAAAGCUUGACGCAGCGACGCCGCGUGAGGGAAGAAGGCCUUCGGUU
rnacentral:rRNA from 1 species